CUAUCGCGCCUUGCCACGCCCGCUACAAGAAACUACAAAGGAAUUCGACGGGGCCCCGCACAAGCAGCGGAGCGUGUGGUUUAAUUCGAUGCUACACGAAGAACCUUACCAGGGUUUGACAUACAAGUAGUAGGGAAAGGAAACUGGACCGACCCUUCGGGGAGCUUGAACAGGUGCUGCAUGGCUGUCGUCAGCUCGUGUCGUGAGAUGUUCGGUUAAGUCCGCUAACGAGCGCAACCCUCGCUGUGUGUUACAAGUGUCACACGGAACUGCCGGUCAUAAACCGGAGGAAGGUGGGGAUGACGUCAAGUCAGCAUGGCCUUUAUAUCCUGGGCUACACACACGCUACAAUGGGAAGGGACAAUAGGUUGCGAAACCGCGAGGUGGAGCCAAUCCAGCAAAACUUCCCUCAGUUCAGAUUGCAGGCUGCAACUCGCCUGCAUGAAGUUGGAGUUGCUAGUAAACGCAGGUCAGCCAUACUGCGUUGAAUACGUUCCCGGGGCUU
rnacentral:rRNA from 1 species